rnacentral:tRNA from 1 species
GGCGAUGUAGCUCAGCUGGCCAGAGCAAGCGGCUCAUAUCCGCUGUGUCCGGAGUUCAAGUCUCUGCAUCGCCA